UCAAGGAUAUAUCUUUUAUUUGCUGGUCAAGCAUUCCUGCUCCUUUUCUUAGAUAAAAGAAGCCCAAGUAUCCAUGUAGGAAUAACUAACCUCUAAUUCCCAGUCUUUAUCCCAAUCCCCUAUGUGGGGAUGAUGGUACUUUGAGGCUCCUGGAGUGGGCGCAGACUCAAGUGAGGCAAAUCCAAAGAUCCAACUUCUCCAGAUUACAAAGAUUAUUUCAGGGAUAUAUGGACAUCUGUCCUAAGUCAAGCCUUCCUGAGAACUUUUGCUGGAAUUAUCAGAAAGAGGGCUUUAUAGAUGGAAGAAAUUUACUGAGGUAUGCUCCUCCCAUACUAACAGUUAUGAGACAGAAAGAAGAGAACUUGGGGAGUCCAUAAAAGUUGAUGUAGAAGACUGAAGGAUGUGAUCAUUUCCCAAAGCGGAGGACGUCCUGACAGGGCAACUGUAGCAGAAAAUGGGAGUGGUGUUUCAUGAAAUACAAACAACCUCAUAGGAUUGUUGUAAGAUUUACAAAUUUAAGAUGAAUGCUUCCCAUGAUGUCUGGGCCAGAGUAAGUGAGGUGUUUUACUACCAUAAAAAUUGAGCCUCCUGAAUACUCCCACAAUUCCUGAAGCCAAAAGAUACAUUUAAGCUGUGACAGCAGAGGUAAUAUAGAUUUGUAAGAGCCUAUGAAAGGAGUUAUACAUGCAAAAUUUAAAGAUAAGAAGAAUCACUUUACUUGGGCAAUCUGGCUAUGGAUGAACUAUACGUAACCUCAUUUUACAAAGGAAGAUGCAGACAGGAUCUUAGAGAGGGCUCCCAAACCAAGUCACCCUUUGAUGGAGAUAUUACUGAGCAAUGAAAUGACCAUAAACCUGUGGGAGGAAGAAGAGAAAAGGAAAGUCGAUCAAUCCUUGAAUAAAUAAGCACUAUGUUAAUCUGAUGCUUUAGAAAUGCAAAGUCCUACUCCUGUAGAAUAUUGUUUUGAUCACUAUAUUUGUACAAUAAGUAUAUCUCAAAUGCAAUUUUGUUAAAUCCCUAUUACAUAACUAGUAUAUCAACUCAUUUUCUUUGUUUAAAAAUAUUAGCAUUGCAUAUGGGAAGUUUUCUUUGACUUUUACCCUGUUCUCAGACCCACCUCCUUUUCUCAAAAGGAGCACAACAAUCUUGAUGAUUGUUUAUUAUUAUAAAAAUUGUUCAGCUUUUUGUCCACUCAGAUUUGCUCUAUGUAUUUAUGCAGAAAUUUAGAGAAAGCAAGCAUGUCCUUUUGGUUUGUUUUACAGUAACGGUAGACAAUCUAGAUUGUUUAGUUAUGUGGUAGACACUGUGGUACACUGUCCAAAUCCCUCUUCAAUGAAGGACUCAUUGCCUCCAUGUGGAAUGUUAGUAGACAGUUUUCAGCUGUCAAGCCCUUCAAGAACUGCCUGGAGGGCACAGAAGCACCUCAGUCUCACCGCUUUCUCAUUUACCCAACAUCUAAUAACUGAUUCAGUUCCAUUUGAUAGCACUGUGCAAAUUCUUAUGUGAGUUCCAUGCAAAACUGAAUGUUGGUUCAACCUGGAACAAGAAUGAACUUUCUAGAGUCACAGCUUUAUGUAGAGUGACUAAAACUGCUGUUGAACCUGCCUUAUAGCUCAACUUUUUCCUCUGACCAAUCCUGCUUCCUCAGAUACUGAUAGCAUGAAUAUUCCUUAAUAAAUAUCCUGCACAGCAAAAUCCAUCUUAUUGUCUUCCAGGAAACCCAUCCUGCGACAUGCCUCUCACUUACUUUUUUCACUCAGUGCUAUGUCUUAGAAGGCUUCACUUGCUAGUAAACAUAGAUCUGGCUUCUUCUUUUAAUAUUCUUGUACUAUUUAUGUCAGAAACUGAGUUAUUGUUCAUUAAAUGCCUGGUUCCUGCUCCUGAACCUGUAUCCAGACCACAUUAUAAAUACAUAUGUCUUAAGUUACUGCAUUCUGUGGAGAGAAGUGAUCUACGACACUUAAGACCCAAUCUGUAAAAAUCUCAUAAAAUCUUUGCUGCCCUUUGUCAUCCCUUGUAUGUUCGCUGAAUGCAAAAGAUGUAACUGAAGAUUCCAAGGUCAGGGAAUGGCAGAGUCACAUAUGAAAUAAGGCUGGGUAAUGGCAUUACCAUACAGGCUGCCUGCAAACCCCACAUCAAAUUGUUAAUCUGUUGAAAUGUUUUGGGUAAUUUCUUAGGGGAAUUAGCCUCUAUUACUUAAAAGAGAAAGGAUCUUUUGGUUGUUUCCAGUUUCUCUCACUAUUGCAAACCACGCCCUUCUAAAUAUUUUGUGCUCGUCUUCUUGGGUAUGUUUCUCUAGUGUUAAAGACAGAAGUGGAAUCACUAGGUCUUGAGAUGCAUAAGCCUUGAUAUUCGACAAAUGUUUUUUUACCAUUUUCUCAAAUGGUUGUGCCAAUUUCCAUUUUCAUUAAUAGUGCAUUGGAACACCUUUCUCUCUUAGCUUUCCAACAUGGAAUCUUAAGGGAAACUCUUCAGCUUUGACUGCUAAAUAUUUUUAUAUGUAGUUGGAUUUUAGUUUCAUAUCUCAAGUUCCAGGACAUAAAAAUUUUAAAAGCCAUGUGACACUUACAGUUUAAUCUCUUUGAAAGCAGUCCCUAAGAUUCAUGCCAUGAAGUCACUCACCAUUUUGCUGUAGAAGGAAUUUGAAUUGCGUAUGCCAAGGCAGAUGCAUACCCAUGUGUGCUUAUUAGCUCCAGAAUGAGCCCAAUCAAGUGCCCAGAUUUUACAUUGGACGGUUUUGCUGUUACCUCUUCCUCAUUCAGAAAGAAAAAAGAGCCAUUAUGCUACUAGCUUCUGUUUCCUGAGUGCAUAGUAUAUGCCAGGCCCUGUGCUAAGCAUUUUAACUGCAUUAACUUAUUUGAGUCUCACAGUAAUCCUCUAACGUGGAAAUUUCUUUUAUUUAGCCCUGCUUUUUCAGAUGAGAAAACUGAACUGAAGUGCUGUACCUCCAUCAAAGCUGACACGCAUGUGAAAUGUUUCGAUAUCCAGUUUUCCCAGCACUGUUCAUUGACAAGACUCAUUUCCCCCAGUGAAUGGUCUUGGCACCCUUAUCAAAAUCAUGGACAUAGUUUUUAAGGUUUCUUCAACCCGGUGACUCAAAGUGGGCUGCCCUCUUAGCCUGGGAAAUCCCUACUGCGGAAACUGGGGGGAAGGAGGCCCUUUGUGAUUUUCUCAAAAUGAAUCACCAGUGAUUACAGCCAAUUCAAUCUUGGAUUCGUUCAACUAUGUUACCUUGAAAAGUGGAAGCACCCUUGCCUUUCCCCUUUCCUUCCUUUGUUCACCAGCCAGCCACAAGUCCCUGGGCCCACCACACCCCUCACCUUUUACACAAAGACCUCCAGCUUGGAAGUUUCAGCAGCUUCCCUGGGGAGGAGCCUGCGGAAACCUCUCCGCUCCAUUCCCACCCUCCAGGCUUUUCUGGCAGGUGCUAGUUGACUACGUUUUCCCUUGGUGCAGUGUUCAUGUUUUGCGUUUCCUCUCUUUCAGUAACUCAUGAUGACUGAGGUAAUAAUAAUUGUUCUGUGGAGUUAGCAAAUGCCAGGGUGUGUAAAACUCAUCCUCAUGGUGAUGAGACUCUGAGAGUUCUCUGUUAAUUGUGUUAAAGGCAGAGCAAGCUCUUUGCACAAGCCUGACCAGGCUUUCAUGCUGCCUAGAAAAGCAGAGAAGGGGAUCCCUGGGUGGCGCAGCGGUUUGGCGCCUGCCUUUGGCCCAGGGCACGAUCCUGGAGACCCGGGAUCGAAUCCCACGUCGGGCUCCCGGUGCAUGGAGCCUGCUUCUCCCUCUGCCUAUGUCUCUGCCUCUCUCUCUGUGUGUGUGACUAUCAUAAAUAAAUAAAAAAAUUAAAAAAAAAAGCAGAGAAGAAGGUAGAAACAAACGAAGGUGUCUGUUGGGAUUUUAGUAGGAUAGGCUCCUACAGUGGUCUGUCUGGACUAUGUGGGGAUACGUCAGAGGGAAGAGGAGCUCCGAGCUUCCUUCCUCUCAUUGCAUCCUCCCUCUGUGCUUCCAGGGAGCAGACACAAUUGUGCUUUGAAGUGGGCAAAGCUGAUGCUGGGACCGAAUUUUUAAAUUCAGUCCUAUGUGAUCCGAUUCAGCCAAAACCCCCCAAGCCCCAGCUCUGGAUGGUGCAGAGCUGGGUUAGGUUCUAUCCCUGCCCUCCUGUUCGUGGCGCUGGACACAGGACACAGAUGUUACAAAACACCUGCCCCUUCCAAAUGUCAGCCUGGUGCUCCAGAACACUGACUGAAUGAAUAAACACACCUCACCUUCACAAAUUUUGCCAUAAAACCAUAGCAAGAGGAUGGUCACUCACUACUUUUCUUUAAACCUCCUUUCUCUCUCUCUUUUCUGUUUCUCCUUUUACUUAGCCUCCCCCUAAUCCCUGAAAUCUUGGGUCUGUGUUAGUUGCAUUGUUAUAAAUGUACAUCCAAAUAAAUGCAUACCCAAGUAUAUGUGUCUUCCAUGUAGCACAUACCCAGUGUGCCUCAUAUAUUCCCAGCAGUGGGGGGACCACCCAUGGGGAAUCGUUGCCAUAUGCUGUGCCGCAUGCAGGAACAUGACAGAGAUCUUCCAGAGGCUUUGCCAUGGAGCUGGGGAGGAGGGAGGACAUAAGUGGAGGGCCGGGGACUUCCCUGAAGAUUCUGAGCUGAGAUUCAAGUCAUAAAUGGGAGUUUGCUAGGGAGUCCUGGGAAAAGAGUGCUCCAGACGGAAGGAGCAGAGGGCUAAGCUUAAAAUAUUAGAGAAAGGAGCAAGUAUGGUAUGAGUACCUACU